AGUCAAUAAGUUUUAGAGAAACAUGUACUUUGAAAGUACAAAAUGAUAGUUAAAUUCUAUCAUUGACUU
rnacentral:tRNA from 1 species